rfam:Pteropus alecto contig89636, whole genome shotgun sequence.
UUUUUAGUAUAAGUAUGUCCCAUGCAAUAUUUGGGACAUACUUCCACUAAAA